AGCAAAUUAAAAAGGAUCUGAAGAAAUACUCUAAGAUCUUUGAACAGAAGGAUCGUUUGAGUCAGUCCAAAGCCUCAAAGGAAUUGGUGGAGAGAAGGCGCACCAUGAUGGAAGAUUUCCGGAAGUACCGAAAAAUGGCCCAGGAGCUCUAUAUGGAGCAGAAAAACGAGCGCCUGGAGUUGCGAGGAGGGGUGGACACUGACGAGCUGGACAGCAACGUGGACGACUGGGAAGAGGAGACCAUUGAGUUCUUCGUCACUGAAGAAAUCAUCCCCCUCGGGAAUCAGGAGUGACCUGGAGCGCUGUGGUGAGCGUCUGCAGUGGGCACGAUGGGGGUCCUUUUGGCUGCUCUCACGCUGCUUCAGUUAUCCCUGUCACUGAGGAAGCACCUCUUUUAAGGCAGGGGUGAAGGGUGAAGCCCUAGUGUCAUGUGCCCAGGGUUAGCUGAGCCUCGUGUGAAAUGUGGAGUCGGUGCCAACGUGGCCUCGACUGCUCCCCCUGACCACAUUGCAGAUGGCGCCUUUCAGGCAGUGCUGGGUGAGGGAGGAGCUGUGGCCAGGUGUUGGGAAGUGCCAGGAAGAGGAGGGUGGCCAUGCCUGGCCAUUUCCUGAUGCCUGUGCUAGUGACGGCUGCGGUGUG
rnacentral:sRNA from 1 species